rnacentral:rRNA from 1 species
CAUCACUACGCUAGAUGCAUAUCAAUAAGCGGAGGAAAAGAAACUAACAAGGAUUCCCCUAGUAACGGCGAGUGAAGCGGGAAGAGCUCAAAUUUGAAAUCUUCAAGGUUUGACCUUGACGAGUUGUAGUUUAAAGAAGUGUUUUCGGUUAGAGGAGUAGUAAAAGUUCUUUGGAAUAGGACAUCAUAGAGGGUGAGAAUCCCGUAUUUGACUAUUCUUUCUAGCUUUGUGAUACACUUUCAAAGAGUCGGAUUGUUUGGGAAUGCAGUCCAAAAUGGGUGGUAAAUUUCAUCUAAAGCUAAAUAUUGGCGAGAGACCGAUAGCGAACAAGUACCGUGAGGGAAAGAUGAAAAGAACUUUGAAAAGAGAGUGUAAACAGUACGUGAAAUUGUCAAAAGGGAAGCGUUUGACACCAGUGUUGUUUUUCCGAAAAUCAAUUAAAAAUUGAUUCAUGCUAGGUUGUAUUGACCUCAUCAGCUUGCAAUUUAGUUUUGGGUCUCUUUUUGAUGCACUUUUCGGUUAACAAGUCAACAUCAAUUUCCUUUGCUGUAAAAAGGUAAGAGGAAGGUGGCUACAACUUCGGUUGAAGUGUUUAUAGCCUUUUAUCUCUGCAGUCGGGGAGAUUGAGGUCUGCAGCGUAGAUCCUUCGGGGCUAGAUACAUUUAUGCUAAGUUAUAGCUUUUCAUAGACAACUUGUUGACUAUGUUUAGUCAUGUAGCUUACUCGUAAGUGCUAUUUUACCUACGCUUAGGAUGUUGAUAUGCAUGACUGAUAU